CCCUAACCUUGCCCUUCUGCCCUUUACGGAUCCUCCUGGAAUGGCCCACAGGCAUCUACAUCUGCUGUUCCCCAAUCCCACCAGCAAAGGGCACGCGAGAUGAAACAGUUCUGUCCUGGGAUGUACCACUGAGGAGUAGCAGUAAGAUCACCCACUCUGAAAGGUACCAUUGGGAGAGGGCGUGUGACAACAGAGAGAGGGUCCCCUUACACCGGGUCAGGCAUGGACCACAGUUCCCUGCGGUGGCACUCACGGCGCCACUGGGUCCAUCCCCAUUCGCUCCUCUUCGUCUUCCCACUGCUUUUGAAUCCGAAUGGACACAGGUUGUGGAUGCAUAAGAAAGACUGCACUGGAAGGAAAAAAAUAUAGUCUUCAAGCCCCUUUCUCAUCCACCAGAGACGCUGCGGUUCCAGGACUCCACCUCAAUGGCGGGAAAACCGCAACCUGCACUGCUGCUGCUAAGUCACUUCAGUCGUGCCCGACUCUGUGCGACCCCAUAGACGGCAGCCCACCAGGCUCCCCUGUCCCUGGGAUUCUCCAGGCAAGAACACUGGAGUGGGUUGCCAUUUCCUUCUCCAAUGCAUGA
rnacentral:lncRNA from 1 species